rnacentral:rRNA from 1 species
GCAUAUCAAUAAGCGGAGGAAAAGAAACCAACAGGGAUUGCCCCAGUAACGGCGAGUGAAGCGGCAACAGCUCAAAUUUGAAAUCUGGCCCCCAGGGUCCGAGUUGUAAUUUGCAGAGGAUGCUUUUGGCGAGGUGCCUUCCGAGUUCCCUGGAACGGGACGCCAUAGAGGGUGAGAGCCCCGUCUGGUCGGACACCGAGCCUCUGUAAAGCUCCUUCGACGAGUCGAGUAGUUUGGGAAUGCUGCUCAAAAUGGGAGGUAUAUGUCUUCUAAAGCUAAAUAUUGGCCAGAGACCGAUAGCGCACAAGUAGAGUGAUCGAAAGAUGAAAAGCACUUUGAAAAGAGGGUUAAAAAGUACGUGAAAUUGUUGAAAGGGAAGCGCCUAUGACCAGACUUGGGCCCGGUGAAUCAUCCAGCGUUCUCGCUGGUGCACUUUGCCGGGCACAGGCCAGCAUCAGUUUGGCGCGGGGGAAAAAGGCUCUGGGAAUGUGGCUCCUCCGGGAGUGUUAUAGCCCACUGCGUAAUACCCUGCGCCGGACUGAGGUACGCGCAUUGCAAGGAUGCUGGCGUAAUGGUCAUCAGCGACCCGUCUUGAAACACGGACCAAGGAGUCGUCUUCGUAUGCGAGUGUUCGGGUGUCAAACCCCUACGCGUAAUGAAAGUGAACGCAGGUGAGAGCUUCGGCGCAUCAUCGACCGAUCCUGAUGUUCUCGGAUGGAUUUGAGUAAGAGCAUACGGGGCCGGACCCGAAAGAAGGUGAACUAUGCCUGUAUAGGGUGAAGCCAGAGGAAACUCUGGUGGAGGCUCGCAGCGGUUCUGACGUGCGAAUCGAUCGUCAAAUAUGGGCAUGGGGGCGAAAGACUAAUCGAACCUUCUAGUAGCUGGUUUCCGCCGA